AUCAUCAAAUUAAUGUAAAAGAAUACUUAAAAUAUUUAAAGGUUAAAUGUUCUGGUUAAUGGCAAUGAGUCAAUUAAGUAUAUAAACAGGGGCCGCGGUUUAAAUACAGCCCCGGAUUGCCGCGGAGGAGAAGGAUAACCGGUGUCUAUUUUUAGCAGCACAAUAACUUCUUUAUGAUUGCUCCUCAAAGUCAUUGACUACCCGUCGUCGACCGCAAAGGUUGUGCUUCUCUCCUUUACUCUUCGCGUUUAUGCGUGUGUGUAAGUACGAGGAAACACACUGGCGCCAAAAUACUUCUCUACACUUCUUCUCUUUGCGUGUAUUGGGUAGAGAGUCGUUGUCGUCUUUAUAUUUUCACACCUGCGUGCCAAUUGCUACGACGGCUCGUGUGUAUUCAUCAUCCUUUUACUUUAAAAGACGAUUUAUUUUUUUAGUGCUGUUAAAGGCAAGGUGACUCGGACAAUUCCUUGGCAGAAAGUUCCAGUUUAUAUUUGAAAAUAUCAAAAAUGUUUCAGCAAAACUAUAGUUUAGACACUUGGAGGAAAAAAGACUUAUAACAAAAUUAUUUCUGGGAUAUGAUUACAAUCAAGGUUCUAGAGAACCAAAAUCACUUACCAGCUUGGAUAUUAAUAAAGAAGACUGCAUAAUUAUUGUUGUAUAAUAGUUCAUAAUUAAGUUAUUUUGGCAUGGAUGAUUGGUCACUCAAUGUUACGUUAUGAACAACAUUUGAGAAUGAAUGGAAGAAAAAGUUUUAAAUGGUAGAGAAAUAACCAAGGCGCAGCGAUUAGAUUGAUUUUACCCUAAAAUCUGUCUUUUAAAAUCAAGUACAGUGAUAAUGGCUUCAUAUCAGCAAGAUGGAAAGAUUUGUAUCUCAACCAUCUUUAAUAUUACUAUUAUUGGUUAACAAUAACAAAAAUAGAAAAGAAACGGAUGGCAGAAGUAAAGAGGAAUUUCAGCCUUAAUCUAAACUCUGAACUUCUGCAAAAAAGAACGAAGAUGGUUAUUGGUUAUUAUUUCAUGAAAACAUAUCUUUGCAAGAGCGUAUUUAAAGGCUACAUGCUGAUUGUAGACAAAAGUCUGUUGGCAGCUAUAAACGGAUGGAAACAAAUAGAAAAAGUUAACAAAGCAGGAAUCAUUGUGGUAAUACUUUCUGAUUAUAUACGUCUAACAUUUGUUCGUAUUUGACUAGCAUACAAAGAUGAUUUGGCAAACGAGACUUAAAUUUUAACUCAAAAGUGUAUCAACAUCAAAAUUUUUAAUGAUACUUCGUUCACAAGCUACCACGACUCCUAUCUUUUACGUUAUUUCUAUGACAUAAGCUAAAAAGUCUAUUACUUAGGUUACUUAGGUUUGGAAUUGACUUUAUGAUCAGAUACAUCUUGAGUCUCGCAGAAAGUAUGCGAUUUUGAUUAGGAAUAGGGAAGAUCAUGUAUAAAUCUGUCAAAAAGUGAUAGACAACGAGUUAUAUUUUUGGUUCUCAAUUCAAACUCUGAACUUCUGCAAAAAAGAACGAAGAUGAUAAAACUUAUCUUUGCAACGUUUAUUUUAAAGGCUACAUGCUGAUUAGUGUCGUUCUUGGAUCAAUUGGUAAAGAUCAAAAAUCUUUUGGCUGCAAUAAACCACGAAACACAUUUUUUUAUCAAAGCUAUUGAAAAAGUUAACAAAACUGGAAUCAUGUUCUUAUUUGACUAACAUACAAAGAUGACUUGGUAAACAUUUUGAAAUACGAGACUUAAAUUUUAACUCAAAAGUGUAUCAACUAUGUACUUUUACGUUAUUUUUAUAACAUGAGCUUGCCAAAAACCCUAUUAGUUAUGCUUUGGAACUGAGUUUAUGAUCAGACACAUUUUGAAUGUCGCAGAAAGUAUGCGAUUUUGAUUAGGAAUAAGGAGGAUCAUGUCUAAACCUAUAAAAAAGUGAUACACAGUGAGAUAUUUCUAAUAGAUUUAGAAUUUUUGAUUUUGUACAAUUCCUAAUUGAUUUGAAAAGUUAAAAAUUAUACAUUUUAAUGUACAAAAGAAAUUUGAAAGUAGUUGGGAAAACUGGAAUCUCAAAUCUAGUCCAAUUUGACAUUAAAGUGAUAGUUAUAAAGUUAUAGAAGUCUUUUUAGGCAAUAAAAUGUUUAGAUAUCGAU